GGAGAAAUGGCUCAGCAGUUAAGAGCACUGGCUACUCUUUCAGAGGACCUGGGUUCAAUUCCCAGCAUCCA
rfam:Mesocricetus auratus contig001669, whole genome shotgun sequence.